rnacentral:rRNA from 1 species
AGGGUUUGAUCAUGGCUCAGAUUGAACGCUGGCGGCAGGCCUAAUACAUGCAAGUCGAACGAGAAAGCAUCUUCGGAUGUAAGUACAGUGGCGGACGAGUGAGUAAUACAUAGGAAUCUACCCAAUGGUGGGGGAUAGCUCGGGGAAACUCGAAUUAAUACCGCAUAAUCUCUACGGAGUAAAGGGGGCUUCGGCUCUCGCCAUCGGAUGAGCCUAUGCAGGAUUAGCUUGUUGGUGAGGUAAUGGCUUACCAAGGCAACGAUCCUUAGCUGGUUUGAGAGGAUGACCAGCCACAUCGGGACUGAGACACGGCCCGGACUUCUACGGAAGGCAGCAGUAGGGAAUAUUGGACAAUGAGCGAAAGCUUGAUCCAGCCAUGCCGCGUGUGUGAUGACGGCCUUCGGGUUGUAAAGCACUUUAGGUAAUGAGGAAAAAUUAGAUGUUAAUACCACCUAAUCAUGACGUUAAUUACAGAAUAAGCACCGGCUAAAUCCGUGCCAGCCGCCGCGGUAAUAC